rnacentral:misc_RNA from 1 species
AAAGGAAAUCGCAUUGCUCCAUAGACAAUAGCAACCUGCUUUAAGAUAGCCUGCUCUGCAUGCUCAGCAUUAAGCUCCAAAACUUCCCAAUCAUCUUCAGUAUCCGGCUCUAUGGUAACCAUAGUAGCUUUAGGCAAAUUGGACACAACUUUUACUUGAACCACAGUACGAUCCAACAAUCCAAUACACUCCGCAUAUUGCUUCGCAAUCUGAAUUGAA